rnacentral:rRNA from 1 species
UGCAAGUCGAACGCUUUGUGGUUCAACUGAUUUGAAGAGCUUGCUCAGAUAUGACGAUGGACAUUGCAAAGAGUGGCGAACGGGUGAGUAACACGUGGGAAACCUACCUCUUAGCAGGGGAUAACAUUUGGAAACAGAUGCUAAUACCGUAUAACAAUGACAACCGCAUGGUUGUUAUUUAAAAGAUGGUUCUGCUAUCACUAAGAGAUGGUCCCGCGGUGCAUUAGCUGGUUGGUAAGGUAAUGGCUUACCAAGGCGAUGAUGCAUAGCCGAGUUGAGAGACUGAUCGGCCACAAUGGGACUGAGACACGGCCCAUACUCCUACGGGAGGCAGCAGUAGGGAAUCUUCCACAAUGGGCGAAAGCCUGAUGGAGCAACGCCGCGUGUGUGAUGAAGGGUUUCGGCUCGUAAAACACUGUUGUAAGAGAAGAAUGACAUUGAGAGUAACUGUUCAAUGUGUGACGGUAUCUUACCAGAAAGGAACGGCUAAAUACGUGCCAGCAGCCGCGGUAAUACGUAUGUUCCAAGCGUUAUCCGGAUUUAUUGGGCGUAAAGCGAGCGCAGACGGUUAUUUAAGUCUGAAGUGAAAGCCCUCAGCUCAACUGAGGAAUUGCUUUGGAAACUGGAUGACUUGAGUGCAGUAGAGGAAAGUGGAACUCCAUGUGUAGCGGUGAAAUGCGUAGAUAUAUGGAAGAACACCAGUGGCGAAGGCGGCUUUCUGGACUGUAACUGACGUUGAGGCUCGAAAGUGUGGGUAGCAAACAGGAUUAGAUACCCUGGUAGUCCACACCGUAAACGAUGAGUGCUAGGUGUUUGAGGGUUUCCGCCCUUAAGUGCCGCAGCUAACGCAUUAAGCACUCCGCCUGGGGAGUACGACCGCAAGGUUGAAACUCAAAGGAAUUGACGGGGACCCGCACAAGCGGUGGAGCAUGUGGUUUAAUUCGAAGCAACGCGAAGAACCUUACCAGGUCUUGACAUCCCUUGACAACUCCAGAGAUGGAGCGUUCCCUUCGGGGACAAGGUGACAGGUGGUGCAUGGUUGUCGUCAGCUCGUGUCGUGAGAUGUUGGGUUAAGUCCCGCAACGAGCGCAACCCUUAUUACUAGUUGCCAGCAUUCAGUUGGGCACUCUAGUGAGACUGCCGGUGACAAACCGGAGGAAGGUGGGGAUGACGUCAAAUCAUCAUGCCCCUUAUGACCUGGGCUACACACGUGCUACAAUGGCGUAUACAACGAGUUGCCAACCCGCGAGGGUGAGCUAAUCUCUUAAAGUACGUCUCAGUUCGGAUUGUAGGCUGCAACUCGCCUACAUGAAGUCGGAAUCGCUAGUAAUCGCGGAUCAGCACGCCGCGGUGAAUACGUUCCCGGGUCUUGUACACACCGCCCGUCACACCAUGAGAGUUUGUAACACCCAAAGCCGGUGGGGUAACCUUC